GCAUAUCAAUAAGCGGAGGAAAAGAAAAUAACAAUGAUUCCCCUAGUAACUGCGAGUGAAGAGGGACAAGCUCAAAUUUUAAAUCUAUCGGGUUUUACCUGAUCGAGUUGUAAUUUGAAGAUGGCGUUUUCUGUGUUUCUGAUCAGUCCAAGUCCUUUGGGAUAAGGCAUCAUGGAGGGUGAGAAUCCCGUUCGGUUGAUCAGAUUCGCUUUACGAUACGUUAUCAAAGAGUCAAGUUGUUUGGGAUUGCAGCUUAAAAUGGGAGGUAAAUUUCUCCUAAGGCUAAAUAACGGCGAGAGACCGACAGCGAACAAGUACCGUGAGGGAAAGAUGAAAAGAACUUUGAAAAGAGAGUUAAACAGUACGUGAAAUUGUUGAAAGGGAAACGAUUGAAGCCAGUCGUACCUUCGGGUAAUCAGCCUUUUGGGUGUGAUUUUGUGGAGCGUGAAGAGUUAAACGCCUUCAUGCCUGCAUAUUCGUGCACUUUGGGUGUACUUGCCCGUAUGGUUGGUUAACAUCAAUUUUGGUGGUCAUAAAAUGACUGGAGGAAUGUAGCUUCGAUCUUGUAUUGAAGUGUUAUAGCCUUCGGUAGAUGUGAUGAUCGAGAUUGAGGAUUGCAACGGAUACCCUUCGGGGCUACCUGUCUGGUCUCUGAUCG
rnacentral:rRNA from 1 species